UUGCUCCCGGAUGUUAGCGGCGGACGGGUGAGUAACACGUGGGUAACCUGCCUGUAAGACUGGGAUAACUCCGGGAAACCGGAGCUAAUACCGGAUAGUUCCUUGAACCGCAUGGUUCAAGGAUGAAAGACGGUUUCGGCUGUCACUUACAGAUGGACCCGCGGCGCAUUAGCUAGUUGGUGAGGUAACGGCUCACCAAGGCGACGAUGCGUAGCCGACCUGAGAGGGUGAUCGGCCACACUGGGACUGAGACACGGCCCAGACUCCUACGGGAGGCAGCAGUAGGGAAUCUUCCGCAAUGGACGAAAGUCUGACGGAGCAACGCCGCGUGAGUGAUGAAGGUUUUCGGAUCGUAAAGCUCUGUUGUUAGGGAAGAACAAGUGCAAGAGUAACUGCUUGCACCUUGACGGUACCUAACCAGAAAGCCACGGCUAACUACGUGCCAGCAGCCGCGGUAAUACGUAGGUGGCAAGCGUUGUCCGGAAUUAUUGGGCGUAAAGGGCUCGCAGGCGGUUUCUUAAGUCUGAUGUGAAAGCCCCCGGCUCAACCGGGGAGGGUCAUUGGAAACUGGGAAACUUGAGUGCAGAAGAGGAGAGUGGAAUUCCACGUGUAGCGGUGAAAUGCGUAGAGAUGUGGAGGAACACCAGUGGCGAAGGCGACUCUCUGGUCUG
rnacentral:rRNA from 1 species